rnacentral:misc_RNA from 1 species
UAGAUGCAGAUCCGUGAAUCAUCGAAUCUUUGACGCACCUUGCGCUCUAUGGCAAUCCGUAGAGCAUGCCUGUUUGAGUGCCAUGAAAUCUCCCACCCCAAGCGGUUUUUAAAUGAAACGGCUUGGCGGAUGGGGUCUGGAUGGGUGCCUCUGCCUGCGCUACCCAUUAAACGCACACGCUAACCGCAAAAGCACGAUCACACUGUUACACUUCGCCUCCCCCUCUCUGAUGAGACGACGCAGCCAAGUUUUGUUUUUCUCCUGGCAUGAUACGAUAUUUCAUUUG